GACGAACCGCACAAACGUUAUUCGGAAUCACUGGGCUUAAAGGGUGCGUAGGCGGUCCGGAAAGUUGGGUGUGAAAUCCCUCGGCUCAACCGAGGAACUGCGCUCAAAACUACCGGACUUGAGGGAGACAGAGGUGAGCGGAACUUAGGGUGGAGCGGUGAAAUGCGUUGAUAUCCUGAGGAACACCAGUUGCGAAGGCGGCUCACUGGGUCUUUUCUGACGCUGAGGCACGAAAGCUAGGGGAGCGAAGAGGAUUAGAUACCCUCGUAGUCCUAGCCGUAAACGAUGAGCACUUGGUCGGAGAAUCCUCCAUAGUUUUCCGGCCGUAGCGAAAGUGUUAAGUGCUCCGCCUGGGGAGUAUGGUCGCAAGGCUGAA
rnacentral:rRNA from 1 species